rnacentral:rRNA from 1 species
CUUGAACGCUGGCGGCAGGCCUAACACAUGCAAGUCGAGCGAGCGGCGGACGGGUGAGUAAGGUCUGGGAAACUGCCUGAUGGGGGGGGGUAACUACUGGAAACGGUAGCUAAUACCGCAUACCAUCAGAGGUGCCCACAUGGGAUUAGCUAGUAGGUGGGGUAACGGCUCACCUAGGCGACGAUCCCUAGCUGGUCUGCGAGGAUGACCCGCCACACGGGAACUGAGACACGGUCCAGACUCCUAAGGGAGGCAGCAGUGGGGAAUAUUGCACAAUGGGCGCAAGCCUGAUGCAGCCAUGCCGCGUGUGUGAAGAAGGCCUUCGGGUUGUAAAGCACUUUCAGCGGGGAGGCGUUACCCGCAGAAGAAGCACCGGCUAACUCCGUGCCAGCCGCCGCGGUAAUUC